rnacentral:tRNA from 2 species
GCAUUGAUAGUAUAGUGGUUAUUAUGUGAGCUUCCCAAGUUCAUGGCCUGGGUUCGAUUCCCGGUCAAUGCA